CACAGAUAUAUGCACAUACAUUUAUGCACAUAUAAAACACAUUUUUUUUCUUAUACAACACUUACUUUCAAGUUCAUACAUGUUAAGCCUGUGGGAUGAGAUUAACUUCCCUUUGGAAAGUCUAGCACAAACUCAGCCUUUAAGCCUUGUUAAAGCCCUAUUUUCAGAGCUUAAAUAGUAUUAAAUGUUGCAGGAGCCUCAUGCCACGUCUCUGCAAGGGGAUCGGGCAGAGUUUGUUCACUGUGAAGUAAUGUUUGUGUUAAUAGUUACAGGUGGGGUGACUGGGAAUCCAUGCCUGGAAAGCCUGUGAUCUUGCUGAUUUCCGUGCCCUCUCUGGAAUGCUGUGAAAAAUCUCACAUGACGGCUUUGAGGGUUGCUGGAUCUCUCACCGGUCAGCUGCCCAUUUUAGAAAAUUAUUCUUUGGAUAUUCCCUGGAUGGCAGAAAAAACCAUCACAACAGCAUUUAGAAGGGGAAGAGCAGAGGAACUGCAAAAGCAGACAAAGAAGCAGAAAGCAUGUGUUUCAGCUGAGACGAGAUGUCCAUGUCACACUGGAAGGUGGAAAUGUGAGGUGAUAAUCCUUCAGCUUGCCUGCCUGUCUAAAUGUCUGCCGGGGCCUCCUCCCACUUUCUUAUGUAUUUCUUAAAUCACAGACUCACAGAAUCAUCUAGGUUGGAAGAGACCUCCAAGAUCACCUAGUCCAACCUCUGAUCUAUCAGUCCUCCACUAAACCAUACCACUAAGCUAUAUCACUGUUUUGCUUUAAGACAUUCCUGUACAAAGUCUUGCUGAAUUCAGGGAACUGAAUGGACAAAAAGCUAGAGAAAAGUGUAUAUAUAUUUUUGUCUCUGUAGGUCAAGUUUUAUGCCCCCUUUGUUUUCUGCAUCAGCUUGCUGUGGGGUCACAGGUGCAGGAGGGAGCAGUGGGAGCAGCCUGACCUCUCACAUGACAGUGAACUCUGGCGCCAAAACUUAGUGAGUCACAAAUGUUGAACAAGACAGUUUUUGAUAGCGCUAGGCACUUUAAUUUCCCCGUUCUCAUUCAUUAGCAAAAUCUUUCUGUGCAUAAUGCCCCUUGUACUUUGGAAGAAUAUCUGCACAUUAAAAGAACACCUUGUUUCCAGUUUAAUGGAAACACAUCUCACAGUAAUUUCAUUUAUAUCAUAGUUGACAAAAAGAACCCCUCUCCCAGGAACAAAAGUCUGUCAGGGUAACAGGAGGGUAGCAUUUGCUUUUCCCUUGGUUGCAAAGCUCAUUUUUUCCUGUAAUUGGAUGUUAGCACCUCUGACACUAUGACAGAUAUCACAGACGAUGUCCUGGCACCGUCCCAACUGAUCCACAGUGCAGGCUACAGCAGUGCUGUAACUUGUGCUCCUAACUUCAGGUUUCAGUUUCCCAAGGAAGGACCAUGCCAGAGUAUUUCCUCUUUCUUCUGAGGUGUGGAGAGAAGAAUCAGAGGAUUGUUGGCCUGAUGGUCUCUGGCUGAGACAGAUGGCCUUUUGCAUAUUUCCCAGUGCCAUGGGGAUCCAGCUACAGACUUAGAGAUCUACAUCAGUUUGGGGCAUCCUGAAGUGAGCUUGAAUAUUCACCUGCAUUUGAAAAUCACUGCACGUUUUGGAUGUAUGACAAUUGCUUUUCAAAGUUUGUGUUUGUUGGUUUGUUUUAAAGAAAUGUGUGUCUGCAUGUACAUAUGUAUGUAGAGCCCAUGUACACACUUACGAGUAUACAUAUUUCAACCUAAACUUAACUUCUCUUAGGCAUAUGUAUAGAGAGAAAGGUUGACUGGGAUAUUGGGGCUAUUCCAGGAGGGUGAUACACCUUACGUGCAUUAGCACAAUGAAGAUUAACCCCAGUGUUUCAGGAUCCUUCUGUACAGUAAAGUCAAAAGAUUUUAGAAAAAGCUGCUCAGGAAGGCAGUAAUAAUGGUAGAUGUAAGCUUGUAAAGUGUUUCAACCUCUGACAGAAAUAAACAUUCCCAUGUUCUUUUAAAAUUAGAAGUAAUCAUAUAUGUGGAGUGCCCCCUAACAACACCUGCAGCUAGUAAACAGCUGCUUUCCAGGUGAUACUGACCUGAAUAAAGUAUUUCUUACAACUAGAUCACAUCCACAUCAGAUCUCAAGGAGUUUACUUCUGGAGAUCAAGGUCAAACAUAAGCUCUUAAGCACUUCCAUCACUUCAGCAUGCCAUGUGUUAUUUGAUGCUUACAGCUACACAUGCUCAAGUGAUAAGCCACAUCUAUGACACCAUGAACUUUACUAAAUUAAAAUUUGUGGUGCUGCACUAGUGAAAUAAAACCAUUGACUCAG
rnacentral:lncRNA from 1 species